GACGAACGCUGGCGGCAGGCUUAACACAUGCAAGUUGAACGGGAUUUGAUGGUAGCUUGCUAUCAUUGAAGAGAGUAGCGCACUGGUGAGUAACACGUGGGAACAUACCUUUUGGUGGGGGACAACAGUUGGAAACGACUGCUAAUACCGCAUAAGCCCUGAGGGGGAAAGAUUUAUUGCCGAAAGAUUGGCCCCGCGGAAGAUUUAGGUAGUUGGUGGGGUAAAGGCUCACCAAGCCAACGAUCUAUAGCUGGUCUGAGAGGACGAUCAGCCACAUUGGGACUGAGAUACGGCCCAGACUCCUACGGGAGGCAGCAGUGGGGAAUAUUGGGCAAUGGGGGAAACCCUGACCCAGCAACGCCGCGUGAAGGAAGAAGGG
rnacentral:rRNA from 1 species